UACGUAGGUGGCAAGCGUUGUCCGGAAUUAUUGGGCGUAAAGCGCGCGCAGGUGGUUUCUUAAGUCUGAUGUGAAAGCCCACGGCUCAACCGUGGAGGGUCAUUGGAAACUGGGGAACUUGAGUGCAGGAGAGAAGAGUGGAAUUCCACGUGUAGCGGUGAAAUGCGCAGAUAUCAGGAGGAACACCAGCGGCGAAGGCGGCGCUCUGGGCCGGUACUGACACUGAGGAGCGAAAGCGUGGGGAGCGAACAGG
rnacentral:rRNA from 1 species